GACGAACGCUGGCGGUACGCCUAACACAUGCAAGUCGAACGAUAUUUUUUAGAUUCCAAUCUCGACGCUCACUUGUGAGUAUCAAGAUACGGAGUCCGAAAUUUAUAGUGGCGGACGGGUGAGUAACACGUUGGAACCUGCCCCGAAGAGGGGGAUAACUACCCGAAAGGGUGGCUAAUACCCCAUAUACUCCGAUUUAUUCGGAGGAAAGCUUUUGCGCUUCGGGAGGGGCCUGCGUAACAUUAGCUUG
rnacentral:rRNA from 1 species